rnacentral:misc_RNA from 1 species
AAAACUUAAGAUAGAUGGGUUGGAAGGGGGAAGAGGGGAGCCAACAAGACAAGGAGGUUCUCAUCAUUAUCGCAAAAUGCAGUUCUAGUAGACUACUAAAUAACUAAAAAGGCCCAUAUAGAAGAAUGCUCUUCAAUCUUCAAUCAAAUCCCUAGGCAAAGCAUUAAAUAAGUACGAAGCUUGAACCCAAAAGGAUCUGCAUAAUAAAAUUAUAACACAAGGAAUUAAUGAUUCAAAGUUAAAUCGCCAAAUUUGACAGCUGUAAGGUU